AUGAGGAUGGCUGAAUGUGGGGGAGAAGCGUGGAGCGAAGCUGCAAGCCGAUGGACAAGAACCGGAUAGAAGGCGCGGCCCGGCAGGGCGAGCAAACAACUAACUGCAAAAGCUCUCGUGAUCAAGGACGAGGUGGCGUAAAUCUGGCGGUUGUGCAGUGAAGGAGUGUGUUC
rnacentral:ncRNA from 1 species